rnacentral:piRNA from 1 species
UGGAAGCCGCAGAAAGCCUCAGGAA